rnacentral:rRNA from 1 species
AACGAACGCUGGCGGCAGGCUUAACACAUGCAAGUCGAACGGGUGUAGCAAUACACCAGUGGCAGACGGGUGAGUAACACGUGGGAACCUUCCUCGUAGUACGGAACAACUCAGGGAAACUUGUGCUAAUACCGUAUACGUCCGAGAGGAGAAAGAUUUAUCGCUAUGAGACGGGCCCGCGUCGGAUUAGGUAGUUGGUGGGGUAACGGCCUACCAAGCCUACGAUCCGUAGCUGAUCUGAGAGGAUGAUCAGCCACACUGGGACUGAGACACGGCCCA